CUCAGACAGAGAGGCAUGCUCCACUCUCCCGGGCAGAUGCAUGCAAUGAAGCUCCUCCGACCCAGGAUGGACGUAGGCUAGAAUCUUCCCGCAGACUGUGUGUCAGCUCCAGACUCCACUCCAGACUCCAGCUCCAGCUCCAGACUCCAGCUCCUGCUCCUCCUCUAGCUCCUGCUUCAGCUCCUGCUCCAGACUCCAGACUCCAGUUCCUGCUUCAGCUCCUGCUCCAGCUCUAGACUCCUGCUCUAGCACCAACUCUAGCUCCAGCUCCUGCUUCAGCUCCAAAGUCCAGCUCCAAAGUCCAGCUCCAGAGUCCAGCUCCAGACUCCAGCUCCUGCUCCAGCUCCAGACUCCAGCUCCAGCUCCCGACUCCAGUUCCUGCUCCAGCUCCAGAUCCUGCUCCAGCUCCAGCUCCAGACUCCAGCUCCUGCUCCAGACUCCAGACUCCAGCUCCUGCUCCAGCUCCAGAUCCUGCUCCAGCUCCAGACUCCAGCUCCUGCUCCAGACUCCAGACUCCAGACUCCAGUUCCUGCUCCAGCUCCAGAUCCUGAUCCUGCUCCUGCUCCAGCUCCAGACUCCAGCUCCAGCUGUUUCCUCAAAAUCUACAUCCUGGUCUAGCCACCUAGACUACAUUUCCCUAAGCUGGGAUGAACUUGCCGAACCUGGACACUGACUGACACAGCCAGUUCUUCUCAACCUUGACCAAUAACAAAUCUUCCUUGGGUCCCUAACAACACUGCCCCAAAUGUCAGCAGGAAGCAGAGAGAAAAACACCCACUUUCCCCACAACCAGUGACCCAAUAAUCAAUUGGAAACGUGGGGAUGAAGAACUCCAGCCACCCUGAGCAUAGCAGACAAGGCUCUGCCCUUCACCCACCCCCUCUUCUUUGCUAAACCAAUAGAUUACAUUCCCUCAAGGUC